rnacentral:rRNA from 1 species
AUGAAGUUAGCGGCGGACGGGUGAGUAACACGUGGGUAACCUGCCCAUAAGACUGGGAUAACUCCGGGAAACCGGGGCUAAUACCGGAUAACAUUUUGAACUGCAUGGUUCAAAAUUGAAAGGCGGCUUCGGCUGUCACUUAUGGAUGGACCCGCGUCGCAUUAGCUAGUUGGUGAGGUAACGGCUCACCAAGGCAACGAUGC